CAAUAUAGGUUUUUUGCUAUACAUAAUUUAAACCUCACAAGUCUUGCUGCUUCUCUACGAACAAGAAAUAAGAGAGCAAAAUGAUUAUUAUUCCCUAGUCCCUACCCUGCCUUACAAGUAACUUGUUCGUUCUUAUUAUUGUCAAACAACGAAAACCUUACAGACUAGAGGAGUUCCAGCUAGCAUCAACAGCCUUGAUAAUCUUGUCGUGUAAUUUGGCCCCAGCACAAGCAAUUAUGCCUCGAUCAAGACCUUCUAAGUACAUGCCCUUUGAGAAGUCCAAUGGACGCCCUCCAGCAUCAGUAACCACGCCACCUGCCUCUUCUAUGAUGACAACACCAGCUGCAUGAUCCCAAAUCUUCUCCUUGUAGCCAGCCCUUGCAAACUUCAUAAAAACCUCUGCAUCUCCUCGAGCUAUAGCUGCAUACUUCACCAUGCUGUACACACGUAGUGGUUGCAUUCUGAGCCCCACACUGUGAGCUAGUCCUGCUGUGAAGGAAUGGCUUGAAUUUGCCUUUUCAACUGGUUCACAAAAGGUAGCCAGUGCUGGAUNNNNNNNNNNNNNUGAACUGGCCUUGCGGAGUUUGGCCACACUAGCUUCUUUUGUCCCUGGAGUAAGGGUUGCAUCCAAGCCUCUCCACUUCCUUUCCUCGUAUAAAUCACACAGCCUUUGUCCCAAGAUUCAGAUGUUGGUGGGGUUAACUUAGAUAUAAUUCUAUGAUAGCGGUGGUGAUAAUUUAACCAUUCUUUCCUCAUUGGAUAGUUAGGGCAACCAAGAACCCCAAGCACGACCUCUCCAUCUUCUAUCAAUGCUAAAGCUACAGCAUAUUGAUCUCCACGCACGAAACCCAACGUACCAUCAACAGGAUCAAGGGCCCAAAAUCUUCCAGUAGGACCCCCGGUUGAGUUGCAAUGACUGAUGGCUUCAAGAACCUCUGCUGUGGUGAGAAACAUUUGUGGAGCUUUAAGACCAAAGCGGGGUGCUUCAGACAGGCAUUCAUUCACAGUUUGCACUACAGCUUCUAACAGGCCAGCCUUAUCAGCCUUGGAGAGGGUUCGAACAUCUUCCUCAGCAACUAUUGAGACAUUCCUAUUCCCUAGGGACUCAGAUAGUAUCCAGCUGACAGUGGCUUGGACGCUCCAAUCUGCUACAGUGACAAGUGAAUUAUCGUCCUUGGCUUGGACCUGACUG
rnacentral:misc_RNA from 1 species